rnacentral:rRNA from 1 species
AGCGAACGCUGGCGGCAGGCUUAACACAUGCAAGUCGAGCGGGCCCUUCGGGGUCAGCGGCGGACGGGUGAGUAACGCGUGGGAACGUGCCUUCUGGUCUGGAAUAACCCUGGGAAACUAGGGCUAAUACCGGAUACGCCCUUUUGGGGAAAGGUUUACUGCCGGAAGAUCGGCCCGCGUCUGAUUAGCUAGUUGGUGGGGUAACGGCCUACCAAGGCGACGAUCAGUAGCUGGUCUGAGAGGAUGAUCAGCCACACUGGGACUGAGACACGGCCCAGACUCCUACGGGAGGUAGCAGUGGGGAAUAUUGGACAAUGGGCGCAAGCCUGAUCCAGCCAUGCCGCGUGAGUGAUGAAGGCCUUAGGGUUGUAAAGCUCUUUUAUCCGGGACGAUAAUGACGGUACCGGAGGAAUAAGCCCCGGCGAACUUCGU